rnacentral:rRNA from 1 species
GAUGAACGCUGGCGGCGUGCCUAAUACAUGCAAGUCGAGCGAACAGACGAGGAGCUUGCUCCUCUGACGUUAGCGGCGGACGGGUGAGUAACACGUGGAUAACCUACCUAUAAGACUGGGAUAACUUCGGGAAACCGGAGCUAAUACCGGAUAAUAUAUUGAACCGCAUGGUUCAAUAGUGAAAGACGGUUUUGCUGUCACUUAUAGAUGGAUCCGCGCCGCAUUAGCUAGUUGGUAAGGUAACGGCUUACCAAGGCGACGAUGCGUAGCCGACCUGAGAGGGUGAUCGGCCACACUGGACCUGAGACACGGUCCAGACUCCUACGGGAGGCAGCAGUAGGGAAUCUUCCGCAAUGGGCGAAAGCCUGACGGAGCAACGCCGCGGGAGUGAUGAAGGUCUUCGGAUCGUAAAACUCUGUUAUUAGGGAAGAACAAAUGUGUAAGUAACUAUGCACGUCUUGACGGUACCUAAUCAGAAAGCCACGGCUAACUACGU